GAGACUUUUUACGAACUGCUAAAUCGUUUAUACCGAGCUUAAAUUCUCGGACCUCUC
rnacentral:tRNA from 1 species